UGCUGCAGUGUACACAUUGGUGUUUGAGUUUACAAAACUUUGCUGUGCAUUCUCAUGAUUUACAGAAGGCCCAGCAAUAGCCAUUUGGGAAUUGAUACUGAUGCUGGGCCUUUCUUUGAAAAGAAUUUGGGCCUGAGUUUGAGGUUUUUGCAUACGAUUUCUUAUUUUGACCUGAAAAUUCAGAUUGUCUGUCAUAUAAAGCUGCAGAUCGCCAAAGUUCAUCAUUGAUUUGAUCCCAUCGUAACCCUAAACUUUUCCUUAUCUUUCUAAAUUUCUCGUCAUAUCAUUUAGCGGCUUGGAAACCCAAGGACUUGCAUAAUGACCGUACAUUAAAAC
rnacentral:lncRNA from 1 species